rnacentral:lncRNA from 1 species
AGGCGGAGCCCCAGCCCUGGCUGCACGCGGGCAGAGAGAGAGAUUGAGCCCCGGCUCCGCCAGCCCAGCUCGGGCCCUGUCCCUCUACCCUUUCCCCAAGCCGCCCGAAGUGACAGGAGGGGCACGCACGGCGCGCGCGGGGCGUCCAGCGUUAACCGCUUCGGCGCCGGGGACGGGAGCGACAGGAGGGCUGGGGAGCAGGGGACCGAGUGCUGGGACUCACCGGAAUGUGCACGCGCAGCGAACGCCUCUUCUGGCUGGCAUUUUUCUUGCCGCCGCUCCCGCCGGGGCUGGAAACAUCUUUUUUCUUCUUGGUGUCCAUAACCGCGCUUCCCAUAACUCUAACCAGAAGUUGAUUCUGCGAAACUCCUCGGGGGUUCGGUCCCCUCCUUCCCUCCCCCGGCCGCUGCCUUCGGACUGGAGCCGCGCGCUCUGUUACACCCUGAAGCCACCUCGUGGGGACUUCCGCGGAGAGGGAGGGUGAGCAGGGAACUCGCGCGGCCGCCGCCGCCGCCGAAGCGCCGAAUUCAAGCGUCCUUUCCUACGGAACCCUCGUAGGCAAAUCAGUCAAAGCCCGUCCCGGUUCUGGUGUCUCCCCGGGUUACUCGUGGCUGAGGUCUCCCGCUGGGUGACAAAGUUUUCUUCCUUUUGCAAAGCUAAGAAACAUUUUCCACCCUCUCGGCUCCUCCCACAGAUUCCCAGAGGUAAUCUGAAAGGCAGGUGCAAUUAAAACCAGCAAUUUGGAAAACAAGCCUCCUAUGCCUGUGCCCAAGUGGGGAAUCUGGAACCAGUAAGCCCGUUCGUGCAUAAAUGUAAUCCUCGGCCGCAGAAUAAACCAGCUCGGAGCCUGCAGCUGGGUUCAUCAAGGUUUGCGCAGUGGAUCCGCGAAUGAAGCCAGCCUGGAAGAUCCCCAGUCUCGAGACAGAGCCUGACAGGGGCAGAUGCACUGGAAGGACCCUGUCUGGGUUUAGCAACCAAGCAGCCAUCCUGGCCCCACAGGUGUGGGACUUCUGGGUCUUCUCCUGGCUGGCUUCUUGCUAGAGGAUUUCAAGAGACCCAGCAAGACUGUAUUGUCCCACUGAAUGCUCAAGAUAUUGGUUAGAAGUAGAAAAGGGGAGGGGGUAGUAUUUAGCCUCUGUCCCCACUAAAAAUUAUUCCCAAUUGUCAUUUGUGUCAUCUGUUUAGCUUACAGUUUUAAUCCUUGUCAAAAUGAUCAUUUGCCAGGGUGCAUAAAACACCCUAUUUGAUGAGAACUGGUUUUAAAGGAAAAUGGGGCCAUCAGAAGGAAGCCGGUUGGUGUGAAGAGACGUCUGGGAAGAGCCCCUGGCGAGGGCCCUCAUUCCACUGGGUGACCCAGAAGGAGAAAACCGCGAUGGCGCUUCUCAUUUGAAAUGUUUUCUUUAUGGACAGUGUUUAGCAAUUGUUAUAAUGUGUACUUUUGUUGAUUGAUCUGUAUACAUAUGUAAAAUAAUUUGUUCUCUGAGUUAAUUUUGUUGGAACAAAGACUUUAGUGCUUCCUACAUUAAAACAUUUUACUG